UACGUAGGUGGCAAGCGUUGUCCGGAAUUAUUGGGCGUAAAGAGCUCGUAGGCGGUUUGUCGCGUCUGCCGUGAAAGUCCGGGGCUCAACUCCGGAUCUGCGGUGGGUACGGGCAGACUAGAGUGAUGUAGGGGAGACUGGAAUUCCUGGUGUAGCGGUGGAAUGCGCAGAUAUCAGGAGGAACACCGAUGGCGAAGGCAGGUCUCUGGGCAUUAACUGACGCUGAGGAGCGAAAGCAUGGGGAGCGAACAGG
rnacentral:rRNA from 1 species